rnacentral:pre_miRNA from 1 species
UGGACAAAUUAUUGUAUUAGACUGUAUUCACGACGUAAAAUAGGGGAUUACACUGUUUUUAGAAGGGAAAAUGAAUCAAUUAACAUAAUAGACUCAU